AACGAACGCUGGCGGCAUGCCUAACACAUGCAAGUCGAACGAGACCUUCGGGUCUAGUGGCGCACGGGUGCGUAACGCGUGGGAACCUGCCCUUAGGUUCGGAAUAACUCCCCGAAAGGGGUGCUAAUACCGGAUAAUGUCUUCGGACCAAAGAUUUAUCGCCUUUGGAUGGGCCCGCGUUGGAUUAGCUAGUUGGUAGGGUAAAAGCCUACCAAGGCGACGAUCCAUAGCUGGUCUGAGAGGAUGAUCAGCCACACUGGGACUGAGACACGGCCCAGACUCCUACGGGAGGCAGCAGGGGGGAAUAUUGGACAAUGGGCGAAAGCCUGAUCCAGCAAUGCCGCGUGAGUGAUGAAGGCCUUAGGGUUGUAAAGCUCUUUUACCCGGGAUGAUAAUGACAGUACCGGAGGAUAAGCUCCGGCUAACUCCGUG
rnacentral:rRNA from 1 species